AUGGACCAAUCCAUCCCUUUUUCCCGUGCAUAUGCAUCGGACUCGGAUGAUGAUGGUCCCGAUGAAGAAGUUGAUGAGGAGGGGUUCACGCCGAAGGAGGCCCAAGCAUUCAAGAAGGUAUUCGGGCGGGAUCACAAGACACCAUUGUUCAAGGAUCUUAGUCUCGCGGAUGAAGCCGUUGUGGAUGGUGGCAAAUACAUAUCUCUUGGAGCUAGGCCAAGUUCUCACCGUGAUUUGGAAGACGGCAAGAACGGGAUAUAUCCCGGUUGUGAGUUUCAAUCCUUCUUGGAAUUGAAGAUGUGGCUCGACAACUACUCGGUUACACAUUAUCGUCCACAUAAAGUGGCCAACUCGGACGUGAAUGUGCGUUACACGGUCAAAUGUGAAGUGCCAACAUGUCCAUGGAUUGUGCGUGCAAGGCCAUGGAAAGGAGGUCCCACUUGGCGCAUAGUGAGUUGUCUACCAACUCACAUGUGCCGGCACAAGAAUGCGGAUGGCAAGCUUGUGUACCAACAACACAGACAACUCACGUCCGAGUUCAUUGCUUACAUGCUGUCCAACCAAAUAUCCACACUUCCAAUAAUGAGCAUUGUCGGAGUAAUGGGCCACGGGUAG
rnacentral:rRNA from 1 species